CCUACGGGUGGCAGCAGUGGGGAAUAUUGGGCAAUGGGCGCAAGCCUGACCCAGCAACGCCGCGUGAAGGAAGAAGGCUUUCGGGUUGUAAACUUCUUUUUUCAGGGACGAAGCAAGUGACGGUACCUGGGGAUUAAGCCACGGCUAACUACGUGCCAGCAGCCGCGGUAAUACGGAGGUGGCAAUCGUUAUCCGGAUUUACUGGGUGUAAAGGGCGUGUAGGCGGGAAAGCAAGUCAGAUGUGAAAACCAUGGGCUCAACCUGUGGACUGCAUUUGAAACUGUUUGUCUUGAGUACUGGAGAGGCAGACGGAAUUCCUGGUGUAGCGGUGAAAUGCGUAGAUAUUAGGAGGAACACCAGUGGCGAAGGCGGUCUGCUGGACAGCAACUGACGCUGAGGCGCGAAAGCGUGGGGAGCAAACAGGAUUAGAUACCCGGGUAGUC
rnacentral:rRNA from 1 species